GGGAUUUCCCUGGUGCUAGUUUUUAAUGGUCUGGAUAGAAGACCAAACCAGCCACAACAUUCCCUUAAGCCAAAGUCUAAUCCAGGGCAAGUCCCUAACUCUCUUCUAAGAAGGCUGAAAGAAGUGAGGAAGCUGCAGAAGAAAAGUCUGAAGCUAACAGAGGUUGGUUCAUGAAGUUUUA